rnacentral:misc_RNA from 1 species
CAUAAAAAUAAUACCAAGCACAAAAUUCCUAAAUAGGCAAAAAUUGUGCAUUGAGUUGCUCAUCGAGCCAACUAUUGACUAACUUUUGUUUUCGGAGAAAAACCUGACACGCCCAGAUCAGAGCCUACUAAGCGCGAAUUUUCCCUACCUCACAAUGAUAAGAAAACAACUUGCUCGCAAACUUUAUGUUUCUACACUACCGUUUUCCAGAAACCAAACAAAGCACAAAAGAAACGAAAAGUGCAAAUCUAGUGUAACCUUAUCUACAUUUUCAACAACCCAAAAGGGGAAAAAUGUGACAUUUUUUUCAGUUACACCUUUAACAAGCAAAUGAAAAAUUGCACGGUUAAAAAUGCUUGAUAUGUA